AAAUUAAUAGUACUCCGAGCUUAGGCACCUAAGAUAGUAAUUAUGGUUCUUAAGCCGUUAGGGUUUGUCUGGAAACGGGCAGGCCUCCCAAUGCGGAAAGGAGAAACACAUUAUGCCAA
rnacentral:ncRNA from 19 species